rnacentral:misc_RNA from 1 species
GAAAUGCGAUAAGUAAUGUGAAUUGCAGAAUUCAGUGAAUCAUCGAAUCUUUGAACGCACAUUGCGCCCGCCAGUAUUCUGGCGGGCAUGCCUGUUCGAGCGUCAUUUCAACCCUCAAGCCCUGCUUGGUGUUGGGGAUCGGCGUUGCCUCCUCCGUCGUUCGCGGCGGGGUGAGGUCGUCGCCCCCGAAAUGAAUUGGCGGUCUCGUCGCAGCUUUCCUUUUCGUAGUAACAUACCACCUCGCAACCAGGAGCGCGGCGCGGCCACUGCCGUAAAACGCCCAACUUUUUCAAGAGUUGACCUCGAAUCAGGUAGGAAUACCCGCUGAACUUAAGC